CCCCUAGAUGUUCUGGGCCGCACGCGCGCUACACUGAACAGUUCAACAAGUCUUAACCUUGGCCGAUAGGUCUGGGUAAUCUUUGAACGCUGUUCGUGAUUGGGAUAGACCUUUGCAAUUAUGGGUCUUCAACGAGGAAUUCCUAGUAAACGCAAGUCAUCAGCUUGCAUUGAUUACGUCCCUGCCCUUUGUACACACCGCCCGUCGAACCUACCGAUUGAAUGGUCCGGUGAAAUCUCGGGACGGCGGCUUGGUCGCUUGCGUCCGACUGCUGAAACUUGAUUAAACCAUAUCAUUUAGAGGAAGGUGAAGUCGUAACA
rnacentral:rRNA from 1 species